UACGUAGGGUGCAAGCGUUAAUCGGAAUUACUGGGCGUAAAGCGUGCGCAGGCGGUUAUGCAAGGCAGAGGUGAAAUCCCCGGGCUCAACCUGGGAACUGCCUUUGUGACUGCAUAGCUAGAGUACGGUAGAGGGGGAUGGAAUUCCGCGUGUAGCAGUGAAAUGCGUAGAUAUGCGGAGGAACACCGAUGGCGAAGGCAAUCCCCUGGACCUGUACUGACGCUCAUGCACGAAAGCGUGGGGAGCAAACAGGAUUAGAUACCCUGGUAGUC
rnacentral:rRNA from 1 species